AUUUUUGCUGGCAUAGUUCUAGGAAAGCAGGAGCUCCACAGCAAAACAUCUUUUCAUUUGUAACACAUUUGCCUUUGAAAAUAUUAUCGUUCGGUGACCUUUUGCCUUAGGUUUCCCAAUGGUCAGUGCCCACUGUUUGUGGACCUAUUUGUAUAAGUUAACGUGAGCAAUAUUUACUUACUGGCCUGAUAAGCAGUGCCUUUGCACGGAGAUUGGACGAGGGCAGGACGCUCUGCUCCUCAGACAGGCUAUUAAAAUCUGAAGUAUCAACUAUCCCAACCUCUUUCCCUCUCUUUCGCUCUCACACACACAGACCGAAUGCCGAACGAACCCACUGUGCAGUCACGGAAUGGAAAAUCUAGUAGUACGAUCCAAUCAGUACUAGUGAAACAUCCAUUGCAUGGGAUUAAUAAAACUAAGGGGUGUGCUUCAUAGGACAUGAAGAAAAUCAAAGUAAAAACUUUCAAAAAUGGAACUGAUGGGUUUUUCAAGGUGGCAUAUCCUAAUCAAAAGUUACAAAAGGUAAAAAGAUUGUGUAAAAAAAAUCAUGAAUAUGAUAUUAUUUUACACUUUUAAAAUAACUAAGAUGAAAAUAGGAACACCAUCGCCAACUUUUAUAUUUUAAAAGCAACAUUGACAACUGAGCAAUGAAUUUGUCGAAAAUUAUGCAAUGCAAAUAUAAACUAAAUGCGUUUCCUAAAUAUGUUUGUAGGUAAAAAGAAAA